GAAAUGCGAUAAGUAAUGUGAAUUGCAGAAUUCCGUGAAUCAUCGAAUCUUUGAACGCACAUUGCGCCCUCUGGUAUUCCGGGGGGCAUGCCUGUCCGAGCGUCAUUGCGAACCCCCUCAAGCCCGGCUUGUGUGAUGGGCCGCCGCGUCCCGGGAGAACGGGGACGGGCCCGAAACGCAGUGGCGGCGUCGCGGUAAUCCGAUCAGCCCGAACGUAUGGGGACUCCUCGUCACACGUCUCGCGGUGCGGACCGACGCCUCGCCUCGAACCCCCGGGAGGACGGUCACCGACCGUCUCUCGGCUCUCUCAUCCGUUGACCUCGGAUCAGGUAGGGAUACCCGCUGAACUUAAGC
rnacentral:misc_RNA from 1 species